AAAUGAGGUCACCCGGGAGGAGGGGCCGGGGCCCCACUGCACACAGUGCCUGGGGUCUGCGCCCUGGGAGAGGACAGACGGACGGGUGGGAAAGAUUGUCUUCAGGGUCAUAAACUAUUUCCACGGACAAGUGACCUAGGAAACACACGCGCACCAGUGUGCCUUUGGACAAGACACCCUCCUACCCCUCCCUCCCCGCUCCAGCUUCGAGGUGGACACGAGAUUGGAGAAAUGAAUACGGCAGGUGGAACAGAGGGAAACCCGCAGAAAGG